AUUGAACGCUGGCGGCAGGCCUAACACAUGCAAGUCGAACGAGUGGCGGACGGGUGUGUAGUGUCUGGGAAACUGCGCGAUGGAGGGGGAUAACCACUGGAAACUGUAGCUUAUACCGCAUACUAUCGGAUGCGCCCAUAUGGGAUUAGCUAGGAGGUGGGGUAACGGCUCACCUAGGCGACGCUCCCUAGCUGGUCUGAGAGGAUGACCAGCCACACUGGAACUGAGACACGGUCCAGACUCCUACGGGAGGCAGCAGUGGGGAAUAUUGCACAAUGGGCGCAAGCCUGAUGCAGCCAUGCCGCGUGUAUGAAGAAGGCCUUCGGGUUGUAAAGUACGUUCAGCGAGGAGGCGUUACUCGCAGAAGAAGCACCGGCUAACUCCGUGCCAGCAGCCGCGGUAAUUC
rnacentral:rRNA from 1 species